UACGGAGGAUGCAAGCGUUAAUCGGAAUUACUGGGCGUAAAGCGCGCGUAGGCGGCUGGGUAAGUCGAUUGUGAAAGCCCCGGGCUCAACCUGGGAAUUGCAGUCGAGACUGCUCAGCUAGAGUGUGGGAGAGGGUGGUGGAAUUCCCGGUGUAGCGGUGAAAUGCGUAGAUAUCGGGAGGAACAUCAAAGGAGACGGCGACCACCGGGACCUACACUGACGCUGAGGUGCGAAAGCCAGGGGAGCGAACGGG
rnacentral:rRNA from 1 species